GAAGCUCCGGUCCUGAGCAGUGACGGGGCGAAUGUCGGCAUCAGCUGCAGUCUCAUCGAUCAGAGCUUAUCAGAUCCGAUUGACCGUUCAGAGGAGCAGGCUGCAGAGGAGAGUGAAAGCAAACUUCCUUCUGCUGCUGACACAGGGUUGUUCGGGGGUGUGAAGCAACUCACUCACUGCGAUUAGCUGUGAAUCAUCUGCAGGCAUCUGACUUCCUGGAAAGCUAAUUCAGGAGUUAUAAACUUUUCCACAUUGGGACUCAUGAGGAGCAAAUUGAAUUUCAAAGUUUUUUUCUCACUUUCUGUAACAGAAAACAUCACCCAAAAAUCCUGUUUUGGGAUUUAUCUCCGCAGUGACGGCAAACUCUGCGCUCAUGUUGAACUGACAUGAUACAAAUCACAUACUUUGCAUGACAGCAUGUUUCUACUUUCACUUCAACUUAGAUGUUACUCCCAUUUCUGCUAAACACACACACACACAUACAGGAACAAACACACAAAGAGCUAUUUGAUACGUGUCUAUGUAGGAUUGAAACUAAUGAUUAUUAUUGAUCAAACCAAAUAAUGUUUUCUCAGUAAACUGUUUGGUCUAUGAAAUCGUGGGUUUGACUUAAAUAUUUAUUUUCACUUGCCCAGCUGCGCAUGUGGGCCAGAAAUGUACUUGCCUGAAGUCAGUUUUUG